UGAAACUCAACUCCCCUUCUCUUCUCCCCAUUCACGUGUUCACGUAAAAAUCACCAAAAUCUCAAACCCUCCUCCUUUCUCUCAGCCGUCGGACCUCUGCUGCGCCACCACUCCUCCGUCGUCGGUGCUCCUCCAUCUCCUCCUGCUUCUUCUUUUUCGUUUUCCUUUCUCCUUUACUUUGCUUUAUUGUCUUCUCUCAUCCUCACUUUGUGGUUCUGUUUCUAGCGACAGCCACCGUUGCCCGACCACCUAUAGCCACCAGCCGUGUCGCCCAGCGCCGACGACCACCCACCUGCCGCGCCGCCCUGCCGCCGGCAACACUCCCUUUAUUCCCUCUCUUUUUGGCGGAGAAUUUUCUUUAGGCGAUAUUUGAAAGUGUUAAAGUGGCCUAUUAGUUGUUUAUACAAGUCUCUAAGGAUCAAUAAGCGUUGCCCAUCUACAGGUUUGAAGAUGAUGCAUCAUUGGGAUCGGGAUUAGAGAGCUUGUAGUUAUAUUUGUUUUAUUAAGUGAUUUGGUUUGUUAACUUAUAUUUGAAAGUUGUCGUACUAUUCGUAUUUCCUUAUUUCCGUUAAUUGGUUUUGGACUUAAUAUGUAAUCAAUUAUUUAUGAACCUAAAAGUUAGUUUUAUGUUUUCCGCUGCAAAA